rnacentral:rRNA from 1 species
AGUGAACGCUGGCGGUAGGCCUAACACAUGCAAGUCGAACGGCAGCACAGUAAGAGCUUGCUCUUACGGGUGGCGAGUGGCGGACGGGUGAGGAAUACAUCGGAAUCUACUUUUUCGUGGGGGAUAACGUAGGGAAACUUACGCUAAUACCGCAUACGACCUACGGGUGAAAGCAGGGGAUCUUCGGACCUUGCGCGAUUGAAUGAGCCGAUGUCGGAUUAGCUAGUUGGCGGGGUAAAGGCCCACCAAGGCGACGAUCCGUAGCUGGUCUGAGAGGAUGAUCGGCCACACUGGAACUGAGACACGGUCCAGACUCCUACGGGAGGCAGCAGUGGGGAAUAUUGGGCAAUGGGCGCAAGCCUGAUCCAGCCAUACCGCGUGGGUGAAGAAGGCCUUCGGGUUGUAAAGCCCUUUUGUUGGGAAAGAAAAGCAGCAGAUUAAUACCCCGCUGUUCUGACGGUACCCAAAGAAUAAGCACCGGCUAACUUCGUG